rnacentral:rRNA from 1 species
CUGCUGCCUUCCGUAGGAGUUUGGGCCGUGUCUCAGUCCCAAUGUGGCCGUCCACCCUCUCAGGCCGGCUACUGAUCGCUGCCUUGGUGGGCCGUUACCCCGCCAACUAGCUAAUCAGACGCGGAUCUAUCGUAUACCACCGGAGUUUUUCACACUGCCCCAUGCGGAGCCGUGCGCUUAUGCGGUAUUAGCACCUAUUUCUAAGUGUUACUCCCCCGGUAUACGGCAGGUUAUCCACGCGUUACUCACCCGUCCGCCAA